UACAGAGGGUGCGAACGUUGCUCGGAAUUACUGGGCGUAAAGCGCGUGUAGGCGGGGUCGCAAGUCAGAUGUGAAAUCCCCGGGCUCAACCCGGGAACUGCAUCUGAAACUGCGAUCCUUGAGUGCCGGAGAGGGUGGCGGAAUUCUUGGUGUAGAGGUGAAAUUCGUAGAUAUCAGGAGGAACACCGGUGGCGAAGGCGGCCACCUGGACGGCUACUGACGCUGAGACGCGAAAGCGUGGGGAGCAAACAGG
rnacentral:rRNA from 1 species